UUUCAACCACAUUUUCUGAUUUCCGGCAAUGCCCCCUGCCAGCUUGGUCUCUACCCAUUUUUGUGUUUGACAACAAUUCCAGCUGUAAUGACCUGUACUUUAGUGCCUCUCUCAUUCUACUCUUAUCUCUAUUUGCUUUCGGCUAUAUAUAGAUGACAAUUGCAUUUACAGACUCGGUAAAAUGAUGCCAAAGUCUGGAAGAGAGCCACUAGUAUUUAUAUGCUCAUAAUGAAACUUCAGUUCUUGAAAAAUUCUUGCUAAAUACAUCUUCUAACCUGAGGGAAAACCAAAAGA
rnacentral:misc_RNA from 1 species